GUUAGGAGCCUGAUGUUGACUCCUGUGUUCGUUUGCUCAGGCUGCCAACACCGACUGGGGGCUUCAAUAAUGGAAGCUUAUUUUCACACAGUUCUGGAGGCUGGAGUUCCAAGAUCAAGGUUUUGGCAGCAAACUCCAAUGUCAUCUCCUCCAUGAAGCCCUGGCUGCCACUCACAGAGAAGCAGGCUGAGUCCUGCACCAGGAUGCCUGGCUGAGGAGCAGAGUGGCAUAAAAGCAUUUGCUCUUUGUUUGCAGGCCGCUGGGCCCAGGAGGCUGGGUCUGUUCAGGUAAGCUCCUUCUAAUUUGCAUCAACACUCAUAAGGGGUAGGAUGGCCCUGCAGUGUUGCUAGAAGUGAUUUUUCUGUUCACAACUUCUCCAGCCCUCCACGAAGAAGCUGGAAGGAGCAGGGUGCACAGGCUCUUUGAAGAUGCUGAGUGAGGUCCCAGGGCACCCACAGGAGCUGCCACCUCAGCUCAGGGGACACAGCUACUCUGAGCCCCUUUGCUCAUGGGGGAAAGGGCGGGGGAAGCAUGCUAUCCCGCCCCCGCUCCCUACCCCAAAAAAGCUGCUUUGUCUUCAGAGGACCAGGAGUCCUGAUUGGGCAGCCUCUGCCGGGAAUGAAAUGCAUGUCCUUCGCACUUCCACUACCGUUCUAUUUUCAGGCUGAUUUAUAACUAAAACGUGAAAUAAGUGCUAGGAAAGCAUUUAGCAUUGUCUGACACUGCCUCAGCACACUCAGUUUCCUCAAUCUCUGCCCGGCCAGGCAGCAGGCGCUGACUCUCGCACUGUCCGGUUCGAAGAGCUGUUUUCUGCAGGUACUUGCAGUAGCAGCUGGCCUGGGACCCACCCCCGGGCAAAGUCCGCUCCGGAGUCUGUCACUUCCCGGCGCGGGCCACCCAGCCCCUGGCGCCCUGGCGCUCAGCGCUCCGCGGGCGCGCCCUCUGGCGGCAAGAGCCCUGAACAUUUCGCAAGCGGCGAAGGCUGGCGCGUGUUAUCCUGGGCACCCACCGGACCGAAUCGCUGGGCAGGGCUGCAAGGUGACUUGCUAACGCAAUCAGACCAGAAAGGAGCGCGCGUCUAACUAAGCGGGGGAGGGGAGAAGCAUGUUCAUAUUUUGUAAAAUGCAAGUGGCACCUCUCCCCAUUUUCCUCAAAAUUUUAUUCUGAAAAACUUUAGUACUUAAAAGUUCAAAUGCUUUUACAGUGGACACACAUUUAUCUAUCAGCUAGAUUCUGUUAUUCACAUUUUACUCUAUUGGUUUCAUUGCAUAUCUGUCCAUCUAUUCAUCCCUCUUUCCAUCCUUCAAACUAUCUUAUUUUUUCUUUUUCUUGUUC
rnacentral:lncRNA from 10 species